rnacentral:tRNA from 1 species
GGUUCCAUAGUGUAGUGGUCAUCAUGUCUGCUUUACACACAGAAGGUCCUAGGUUCAAGCCCCAGUGGAACCA